GAUGAACGCUAGCGGCAGGCUUAAUACAUGCAAGUCAAGGGGGUAGCAAUACAACCGGCGCACGGGUGAGUAACGCGUACACAACAUACCAUAUACUGGAGUAUAGCUUUGGGAAACUGAAGGUAAUCCUCCAUAACAUUGCGAGAGGGCAUCUGAUUGCAAUUAAAGUUCCGACGGUAUAUGAUUGGUGUGCGUUUGAUUAGCUAGUUGGUAGGGUAACGGCCUACCAAGGCGACGAUCAAUAGCUGGCGUGAGAGCGCGACCAGCCACACUGGAACUGAGACACGGUCCAGACUCCUACGGGAGGCAGCAGUAGGGAAUAUUGGACAAUGGGCGAAAGCCUGAUCCAGCCAUGCCGCGUGAUAGAUGAAGGCCCUCUGGGUUGUAAAUAUCUUUUAUCUGGGAAGAAACUCCUCUAUUCUUAGAGGCCUGACGGUACCAGAGGAAUAAGCACCGGCUAAACUCCGUGCCAGCAGCCGCGGU
rnacentral:rRNA from 1 species